UGCACUCUUUCCAGGCGCACCGUGGAUAUUACUUUCCUUUUCCCGGAUUCCCUCAUUCGGAUUAUUCCUCAGACUCUGGACUAUUGUGGGCCACCGGAAUAAUCCUUUCACAGCAAUUGCUGCUAAUCGCUGCUGCUUCUUGCUGCUGUUUGUUUGUUUGGCGGUUGUCAUGGAGAUACUAGAAUUUUUAUGAUGAUUCUGUACACAUCACUCUGGUGGGAGAUUAAACCAAAAAUUCAGCCUUAAAGAAAAUAUAACUGUUUUAUCCUGUUUCUUUUGCCACAUCUCAUCUCUGAGACUUUUCAGAUGUUGCUACACUGAAAACUAAAUACAGAUCUCAGCUCAAUAUUGAACAUGACUUGAGAGUGACAGUAUCAAGUCUACAACCCCGUUUUAAAAAGAUUUAUGAAAUGAAUUUGCUCUAUUUUGCACAAACUGCAAAGUGACAAAGUCCAAGAGAUAACACAACGACACCUUUAUUUUCUCUAUUUUUGGUUUUGAUGCUAGUUGAUGUUCAUUUAGAAUUGGAUAGUUCAAUAAAUUAGACAUUUUUCAACUUGAAGAAUUUUAUUAUCCUUUUUUGAGGUAACGGAGGACAGGUGGGUUUAAAAACCCACCCCUCUGAAGUGGUAAAUGUCAGAAAAAGAUUGAAAAUCACUGCAUUAAAACACAAACAGAAGUCACAUUAGUACAGAAUGGAGCAUAAAGCACGUCCUGAUAGUGCCGCUAGAGGGCAGUGUGAGACUGAGAGUUGAGGAUGUGAGCUGUGUGAAGCUGGAGAUCAAUAGUCUGUUAAGGGGUGGGAAGAGGGGAAAAGAAGGGGAAGAAGGGAAAAGAGAAAAAAGAGAAAGGAAAUGGAUAGAUGGACAUUUAUUAUGUUUUUUGGCAGAUCGAUGUUUAUAAAUCCCCCAAUAGUGCACAAAACUACUGAUGAUGUGAAUGAAAAUACAUCACUUGUCACUCAUGUUAAUUAAUAUCUGUAUGAUUUGACUAAUUUUUACAAUAAAGGGGCAUAAAAUGGA